AAUGAAGUGCCUGAUUUAAAGGUCUACUUUGAUAGAGUGGCUCAUGCAGUAAUUUGCCUUCAUUA
rnacentral:tRNA from 1 species